rnacentral:rRNA from 1 species
GACAGAGGUGCCAAGCGUUAGGCGGAAUCACUGGGCUUAAAGCGUGUGUAGGCGGGUGCCUAAGUACCUUGUGAAAUUCCACGGCUCAACCGUGGAACUGCUGGGUAUACUGGGUGCCUUGGGUCAUCUAGGGGCUGCCGGAACAAAUGGUGGAGCGGUGAAAUGCGUAGAUAUCAUUUGGAACGCCAACGGCGAAAGCAGGCAGCUGGGGAUGCACCGACGCUGAGACACGAAAGCCAGGGGAGCGAACGGG